GGGGAAUAUUGGACAAUGGGCGAAAGCCUGAUCCAGCCAUGCCGCGUGAGUGAUGAAGGCCCUAGGGUUGUAAAGCUCUUUCAACGGUGAAGAUAAUGACGGUAGCCGUAGAAGAAGCCCCGGCUAACUUCGUGCCAGCAGCCGCGGUAAUACGAAGGGGGCUAGCGUUGUUCGGAAUUACUGGGCGUAAAGCGCACGUAGGCGGAUCGGUCAGUUAGGGGUGAAAUCCCGGGGCUCAACCCCGGAACUGCCUUUAAUACUGCCGAUCUAGAGUCCGGAAGAGGUGAGUGGAAUUCCGAGUGUAGAGGUGAAAUUCGUAGAUAUUCGGAGGAACACCAGUGGCGAAGGCGGCUCACUGGUCCGGUACUGACGCUGAGGUGCGAAAGCGUGGGGAGCAAAC
rnacentral:rRNA from 1 species